UACGUAGGGCGCCAGCGUUGUCCGGAAUUAUUGGGCGUACAGAGCUCGUAGGCGGUUUGUCGCGUCUGCUGUGAAAACCUAAGGCUCAACCUUGGGCUUGCAGUGGGUACGGGCAGACUAGAGUGCGGUAGGGGUGACUGGAAUUCCUGGUGUAGCAGUGAAAUGCGUAGAUAUCAGGAGGAAUACCGAUGGCGAAGGCAGGUCUCUGGGCUAGAACUGACGCUCAUGCACGAAAGCGUGGGGAGCAAACAGG
rnacentral:rRNA from 1 species